AAGGAAUGAUGUAACGGAUCGACGGGCACCCCGACUGGGUACCUCCGUUGAAGGAUGCUCCUAUCGCUUCCUGAGGGCUCCAAGCACUCCAGCACUCCAGCCGACACCAUAACCACCGUAGACUCCUCCUCCGUUCAGUAGUUUGGAAGAUACAGAUUCCGCAGAACAUAUACAGGCUAAAUGAAAAAUAAUUACUGUAUAAUGUGUCCCCUGUUGUAUAGUUUAAAACUACUGCACGAUGUCUCUGUGCACCAAAUACCAGCGAGAUGGCACCGUGUAGAAAAGUCCAAACAGUGUCUGUGAGUUAAAAUGGCUGCCAUCCAUUGUUCUCACCAUGUGCUUCAUCCAUUGUUCUCACCAUGUGCCUCUGAUACUAGAAAUAGUGGCCACCCAGUAACUCCACAUUAUGUCCCCAGAUGGUUCUUAAAGGGCCAGCAGCAGCAUAAUAAAAUCAAGUAUGCCCACAUCAGUUCCUAGAAGGGCAAUACAUCCCAGGGCCAUAGUCGCAGGACAGGAGGCUGGCAAACAGGCCCCUUCAAAACCAGUGGCGAGAUUACUUUCGCCACACCCAUUUUACAAACAUAGUACUGCCCACAGGGUUGAAGAACAACCAAUCAAUACAUUACAACACAACUAAACACUCCCAUUCAUACCAGCAUAAAUCCUCCCC